rnacentral:lncRNA from 1 species
AUGAGAAAAUAAGACAUUUCCAGUUCUGGUAAACUACUCUUGAGUUGGUCUCUAGAUCCUCUGGGAUUUGUUUUCACUUCUUCUCCCAUCAAAGAUUCUUGGAUGAAAUACUGAGAAGUGGUAGCUUAAGCCAAAACAGUUUUCCAUGGUCAGAAUUCUAAGCAUUUUAGGUUGGUGGGAAAUAUUUUUUUUCUUUUUUGAAAAUUUCUCUGAUCACUUGUCUAGAUGUGGAAUGUAGUUGGUGAGCCAGUCCUGUGGGUAGGAGUACAUUUUCUGGGGCUGAACACUUUUUGAGUCUCUCUACAAAGUUGUGUUCAAUUCUGUCUGCGCUUUUGCACAAGUGUCUUUAGUGGCAACUUGCAACUGGCGAAUACAGAGAUGGCGAAUUCUUCCUCACGUCUCUACCUACAAGUCACAGAGUAACUGGCAAAGAGAUCAUUACAACGGUAGAUAAGGAGUGCUAUCUUCUAGGAGAGCCAAAGAGGAGCUACAUUUACAGUAACAGUUUUGAGGCCAGAUACCAGUCAAGUUAUAGCAGAGAGGACUUCAUGAAGGAGGAUAGGAAUUUCCCAUGGAUGGCAAUGCUUGCUCAAGAGUGA